CUGGUAUUUACAAAGGAAAUUAAAGGUGAAUUGGAAAAGGAGUUGCCACAGCCGUAACACAAAAACGCAAUUACAUCAGAGACUACAAAAUGGCCCAACAGUUAAUUGAUAUUUCUAGCAAAUUGGUACUCAAGUUGGCAUAAAACCUAUUGUCAAAUGAAAGUGAAACUGCAACAAAAAAAAGUAACAACAACUCGCAACUGCUCAAUUAAAUUGCAGCAAAUAGAUACAUGAAAGGAAAAAGGUGAAAGCAAAAGGAAACUAAUUCUUGGACCGGCUAAUUUGCGUCAAAGAAUUGUAAUUAUUUAAAGGUUGAUGGUCAUCAAGUUUCCUAGCUGCUCUACAAUGACACAAAAUAAGUCUUCCCUACACAUUAAUCUUGUGUCUAAUUGUGAUGAUAAUUCAAGUUAAUAAUCAACUAGACAAUAUUUUUUCCUAAAAUGUUUUCUUCCAAGACCUAAUCGCAUUCAAACUCAUUUCAAGGAUCACCUUGACAAAUAUCGGACUUCACAAGUUUUCUUGAAGACUUUUACCUUUUCUUCAUUAUCUUCAUCAUCAUUGUUCCUCUGUUCUGGGCUGUUUCCUUUACCUGGGUCCACCUAAGCCAUUUUUUACCCAUUUUCACCAGGAAUCAUGGCAAUGACAUUCUUUGUUAUUCUGCUUUUUUCAUUCAAUUUUCACUUCUCGGUCUCCACCUAAAAAUGCCGAAAUUUAAACAAUCAACAAGCAACAAUCCUCUUCAUCAUGGGUUUGCUUUCUUCCACUAUUUCAUAAGAAUGUGUUCAAUGUCAAUUUAAUAACUUCUUUUCUUUUCUCUUCUUUUUUUCCAUCAUUUUAUGCAAUCUUCACGCCAACGGAAAUAAUAUCUAAAAACGCCAAGAAGUUGAGAUUUUGAUAUUUCUGAUUUUUUUUGGUGUGAAAAAAACAGUCUAUUCUAAAGAUACAAUGGAUGGCAACAAAAAAGAUGAUAAUUACAGCGGUGAACUGUUAACAUUAAAAGAGGCAACAUUCAAAUUCAAUCAGCUGAACGCUGCAUGUUUAAAUCAACAAGCAAUCGCAUUCAUUGUUAAUUUACUAAUGCCAAUUGAUGCUAAUCUCCUGGGGUUGGACUGCAUCUUAUAAUUGCACUGCAACUUUACCUUUAACAUGGUUGUUAUUGUCAUCAACAUCCUUUGUACCAACAAACAAUGACAAUAAUUACCUUCUGAUUGCUAUUUCUUAGUUGAUUGUAUUGCAAGUAAAAAUUAUCAAACCGAGGCAUUCAAUCAAGUUUCACGUUUGGAUGAUCAAGAUGGAAGCCAAGGAAAGACUGAUUUUUACAUGAAUUCAAAGGAUAUUGAACUUGAGUUGAACUCGUAGGAAUACUUAAUGACAUGAAGAUGAUAACAAGCAAAUUUAUUUUUACCUUCACAAGUAACUUUCAACAAAAAAAGCAAACAACUGAAAAACCAUGAUUUACAUGAAAGUUGACACACAAUUGACAGUUUAUUUUAUGCAAAACAAACAAGGCUGAAACAAAAACAACUAUCAAACCGUAUUGUUAAGAUAAUUUAACUGUCAUGCAUAUCUUUCAAUUACUAUAAUCAACCACCUUAAAGCCCAAACAAUCGCCAAAUGAUGAACUUUGAUGUCGGUCGCGAUUCUGGGCACUUGAUUUUGACCAGCUUAGUCUUCCCCUGUUUUCAUCUUCAUCUUAUCCACGAAUUCCUCAUUCUUGUCUCAAUUCUGUAACAACUUCUUUUCAUGUUAACUAAUUUACCAGGUCAAUAGAGAGUCAAUCUUGUAAAUUGCACCUUUUUCAUAUUUCCAAAUUAAAGAAACUUGAUAAAGAGGAAAAUCUUUUCGCAGAAGGAGCUGAAGAUUUUCAGAUGAUGAUUUCGAGGUUGAUGAUGCACCUAGUAUAAAGAAAUAUUCCGGUCAAGCUACUAACGGGAAGAAAGCAAACGACAGUACGAUAGUGAAUCAGAUGAAUAUGAAGAGGAAGAAGAGGACUCUCAAGAGAAGAACAAAGUCAAGAAAAUAAAACCGCCUAAACCAUCAAAUCUUUUGCAAGUUAAAGUCGAGGAGACUCAAUAAGAAGACCAAGACAAUGAUGACGCGUAUGAGGUAUUAGCUUCAAUAUCCAAACGUCUAAAAGAUUACAUCGUUUUCAUCCAUCCCUCAAUCAUCUCUACUCUUCUCAGCAUUAUUUUCAUCUUCCACCUAGCUUCAAGUUUCAAGUUAAUUGGCAUUCAAUUGACUUUUUACCUUUUCAUCGUCUUUGAAACUUUCAAAGGGAAAAGAAAGUUGAAAAGGAAAACUUUCUUUGGUUGACAAUCAAAGGUGAUCAGAAAGAGGGUCACGAAGAAGAGCAAUAAGAAGAGGCUAAAAUAAUGAGAGAUGAAAAGGAUAAGAUGCUAAAGAAGAUGGAAGGCGAAGAAGAAGAAAAGGAAAGAUAAAGAAACACACAACAACAGACCCACAGUGUUUUGUUGAUUUACAGUGUUGAUACCUGUUGAUAACCUAGGUGCUAGGGGUUGCACUUGUAUUGUUGAUAACCCUUAUGAGUUGGGCAAAAAUUUGCAAACCAGAAUCAAGAGAAAGAAGGAGAAGGAAAAACAACCAUUUUCUUCCUUGAGAAUCAAUAAUCUUUCGGAAAGUGCUAAUGAAGAUGGUUUAUAAUCUCUAAUUAUUGCUUACAUUUAACACCAUAAAUAACACUUAGUGGCAACAGUUAGAUAAUGUUAACAAAGACGGUCAUCAUCUGUAUCUUCAACCAUCUUACCUUUUGAACCAUGCAAUAACUCAAAGCCAUUGAUUAUAACGAUUAUCCAAGGAAAAUGAUGAAGGGAGGUUUUUCAAAAUUCACUAGAAAUUGCUCAAAGACAAUUAUGGCCUAUCAUUUUACCUUAAAAAUUACGCUUCUCUAGCUUACAUUACUCUAUACCAAUAAUCAUUGAACAACGUAAUUCUCAUGAUCACUGUUCAUCUAUUUUUGGAUUUAUGGCAUUUCUCUUCAUCAUUGGUUUCUCCUGUUAAUUGUUACCUUUCACCAAGAUUACUCCAAUAGUUCAACAGUCUCUGUUAUAUAAUAUCGAGUAGGCCUGGCUAACUGUUUUUAUUUACCUCCCAGAUUGUUGACUAAUUCAGUUACAGACAAUUAAUCAACCAUCAGUUUCAUCCGCCAUUAACUUGCUCAGCUUUACAUCAGAUGCUCAUCCUCAAUACCUUGCUUGCUCCUCUAUUACAUGAAUAACAAUUCUGUCAAUUUUUUUCUACUGUUCAACAUCUCAAUCCUGGUCCAGAUUGUGACAUUGGUAAUUUCAUUACGUCUUGAUCUAUUGAACUGACUCAGAAUGGUUAUCAAAAUUAAAUUGAAAAAUACAAUUCAAAAAUUAUUCACUUGAAUGGUUGAAAACAAGGUGCUAAAUUGUUGAAAGCUUUACCAUAACUAAAGUAAUGGAAUCACCAUCAACAUGAUAAUCACAAUUUCCGCAAUCUAUUUAUGAAUAACUUUUCGUCUUAAUUAUACCACUUGUUGCAAAGCACAAUUAUACAAGAAAAGAUGAGCACAAUUGUUAAUCAAAUUAGCCUGAAAAUAAUCAGUGAAUUUGAUGAAAAGAAAAACGGAACCAAAAAUUGAACAGUUGCUGCCCCUUGAGCAUGAAACCAAGAAGAGCCAAAAGGGAUAAAGAUGAGCCUUUUUUACCCGACAAUUGGAUGGAACAAGUAACAACAGGGAAGAUGAAAAUCGCUUCUGAUUAUGAUGAUGAUUGUUCUUCGUUGCCCUGAAGGCUGACAAUUUAGCGUCUUGCAACUGCGAGAUUUGAAACUGUUGCCUGUCUCAUCUGACACAUGAAAAGUGUCAACCUGAGAAACUGAAUCAUCUAAUCACCAAAAGUAAUGAGAUUAACCAAUUUUUGUUUCUUUCUCAAUUGCAAUUACAAAGUUUCAACAAAUAUCCUGAAAGAAAAAGAUUCAACAGAUUUAUCUUCAUCAUCGCACUAAAUCACAAUUAAUACAUUUGAUUGACAAUUUCAUCUCGUUUUGUGUUUCUUGAGGUACAUCAAUUUAAUUAAUUGCUAACGGCAAAUCAAGUUUACUCGCCAUAAUUAAAUGUUACAAACGGAGACGUUUAAUAAGAUACAAAAAUUGUUCAAAUUUUUAGCAAACUUGUUGACAAAUAAUUGUCAAAUACAGACAAAUCAAAAUACAAAGUGAUAAAUCAAUACAAUUGAAAUGUAAUUAUAUCAAAUUUAAAUCAACAAAAAUAGCUGAAUCAAUCAGAUAUCAAGCUCAUCUUAUUCACCCAUUCAAAGGUUAUCAUUAUUCCUAAAUAUAUUGGCAUUCAUUGAGAUUCAAUUAAUGAUCAAGGAGUGUUCAGCUU